GAGGUUGUGGCUCAGUGGUAGAGCUCUUGCCUCACACGUGUGAGGCACUGGGUUCAAUUCUCAGCACCGCA
rfam:Ictidomys tridecemlineatus contig024352, whole genome shotgun sequence.